rnacentral:rRNA from 1 species
GUCGUGAGGCGGAGCAAAACACAAAACACAGUCUCAGUUCAGAUUGUAGGCUGAAACUCGCCUAUAUGAAGUCGGAAUUGCUAGUAAUCGCGGAUCAGCAUGCCGCGGUGAAUACGUUCCCGGGCCUUGUACACACCGCCCGUCACACCAUGAGAGUCGAUAACACCCGAAGCCUGUAGUCUAACAGCAAUGAGGACGCAGUCGAAGGUGGGAUUGAUAAUUAGGGUGAAGUCGUAACAAGGUAGC